GAUGAACGCUAGCGGCAGGCCUAAUACAUGCAAGCCGAACGGCAAGUCUUAUAGCAAUAUGAGACCUAGAGUGGCGUAAGGGUGCGUAACACGUAUGCAAUCUGCCCGCAACCGGAGGAUAGCUCCCCGAAAGGGGAAUUAAGACUCCAUAAAAAUGGAGAGGUGGCAUCACCAUUUCAUUAAAUUACAAGAGGUUGUGGAUGAGCAUGCGCAUGAUUAGUUAGUUGGCGGGGUAAGGGCCCAUCAAGACGAUGAUCAUUAGGGGAACUGAGAGGUUGA
rnacentral:rRNA from 1 species